UACGUAGGAAGCGAGCGUUGUCCGGAUUUACUGGGCGUAAAGGGCGCGUAGGCGGCAAUUCAAGUCAUCUGUGAAAUCUCCGAGCUUAACUCGGAACGGUCAGAUGAUACUGCUUUGCUAGAGUGCAGAAGGGGCAAUCGGAAUUCUUGGUGUAGCGGUGAAAUGCGUAGAGAUGCGGAGGAACACCGAUGGCGAAGGCAGCCCCCUGGGCUAACACUGACGCUCAGGCACGAAAGCGUGGGGAGCAAACAGG
rnacentral:rRNA from 1 species